ACCUACGGGGGGCAGCAGUGGGGGAUAUUGCACAAUGGGGGAAACCCUGAUGCAGCGACGCCGCGUGGGCGAAGAAGUAUUUCGGUAUGUAAAGCCCUAUCAGCAGGGAAGAAGAAAUGAGGGUACCUGAGUAAGAAGCACCGGCUAAAUACGUGCCAGCAGCCGCGGUAAUACGUAUGGUGCAAGCGUUAUCCGGAUUUACUGGGUGUAAAGGGAGCGCAGGCGGCACGGCAAGCCUGAUGUGAAAGCCAGCGGCCCAACCGCGGGACGGGAUUGGGAACGACCGGG
rnacentral:rRNA from 1 species